rnacentral:rRNA from 1 species
GGGCCCGCACAAGCGGUGGAGCAUGUGGUUUAAUUCGAUGCAACGCGAAAAACCUUACCUACUCUUGACAUACUUGGGAGCUCUUGUAAUGAGAGUGUGCCUUUUGGAACCAAGAUACAGGUGCUGCAUGGCUGUCGUCAGCUCGUGUCGUGAGAUGUUCCGUUAAGUCGGAUAACGAGCGCAACCCUUACCCUUAUUUGCCAGCGAUUCGGUCGGGAACUAUAAGGGGACUGCCGGUGAUAAACCGGAGGAAGGUGAGGACGACGUCAAGUCAUCAUGGCCCUUACGAGUAGGGCUACACACGUGCUACAAUGGGGAAUACAGACGGACGCUAAGCCGCGAGGUGGUGCUAAUCCCGGAUCAGCAACGCCGGGGUGAAUACGUUCCCGGGCCUUGUACACACCG